rnacentral:rRNA from 1 species
GUGCCAGCAGCCGCGGUAAGACAGAGGUGCCAAGCGUUAGGCGGAAUCACUGGGCUUAAAGCGUGUGUAGGCGGAUUGGUAAGUACCUUGUGAAAUCCCACAGCUCAACUGUGGAACUGCUCGGUAUACUGCUUAUCUUGAGCCACUUAGGGGCUGUCGGAACAAAUGGUGGAGCGGUGAAAUGCGUAGAUAUCAUUUGGAACGCCAAAGGUGAAAACAGACAGCUGGGAGUGUGCUGACGCUGAGACACGAAAGCCAGGGGAGCGAACGGGAUUAGAAACCCUAGUAGUCC